CAAUAGCGUAUAUUAAAGUUGUUGCGGUUAAAAAGCUCGUAGUUGGAUUUCUGCUUGGGACAACCGGUCCGCCCUCUGGGUGAGUAUCUGGCUUGGCCCGGGCAUCUUCUUGGGGAACGUUACUGCACUUGACUGUGUGGUGCGGAGCCCAGGACCUUUACUUUGAGGAAAUUAGAGUGUUUCAAGCAGGCACACGCCUUGAAUACAUUAGCAUGGAAUAAUAAGAUAGGACCUCGGUUCUAUUUUGUUGGUUUCUAGAGCUGAGGUAAUGAUUAAUAGGGAUAGUUGGGGGCAUUAGUAUUUAAUUGUCAGAGGUGGAAUUCUCGGAUUUGUUAAAGACUAACUUAUGCGAAAGCAUUUGCCAAGGAUGUUUUCAUUAAUCAAGAACGAAAGUUAGGGGAUCAAAGACGAUCAGAUACCA
rnacentral:rRNA from 1 species